ensembl:lncRNA
AUGGAUGUGGACAUGGCUUUCUGCUUCAGGAGGUUGUUUACAUUCAGGCCCAAGUUGGUGGGGGAGUUUCGGGUCACCUUGUUGGCAUUCCGCCCGUUGCUUUUCAUUUUUGUGGAGCCAAAUUUGGUGGCGGCGAAGCUGGCAGUGGUAAAGGUUAAAGGUUGGGUGGAACGGCGCAUGAAGGUGGGGCUGACCGCCGCCGACUGGCCAAACGGUGGGGACGGGGAACUGGAGCACCUUAACGGGUCCCUUCUCCCCAAUCUGAUAAGACACCUCGAAAGGAUCAAUCCAGACACUGAGGUCCUGAGGCAGGUUGUUGCGGACAUCCUCAAUGUCCAACCCACUUUCUUUGGCUGCUUGCUCUACAACUGGGUCCACUUUCUCCCCGACAUGUAUACACCUGAAUCCAGACCCUUUGUAUGGCUUGUCCGGGUACCAGUGUCCCUCGUAUUUCUGUUUCAGCUGUCUCUCCAACUCCUCGCCGAAAAUGUUGACACGUCGCCUGGGCAGCUUAUUGUACAAGUAAGAAAUUAUGAAGUUGAGUGCUACUUGGAUUUCAAGCUGCAUAGCUGCUGCGCUGCCCUGGAGAAUCACCAGCGUUGGCUGUUUGAAUUCGCGUAUUGUGUUGUAAGCCACCAGAGGGCAAGGCUCGGCUGGAGCCAGGCAAACAAACAGAAACUUGGGGGAAAACGGUUCAAAACAAAGUGCUGGUUGCAGAGGGAACGUCUCAGUCCACAAACGGCUGAUCCGGUUCCUAGAGAGAAGCAAAAACAAAGCGCGUUAUAAUAACUCCAGCUCAUUAUUCUCUGCUGGAAAUAAUAACUGGAACAUAGUACCGUCUGUCAGUUUUCUUAAUAGACAGUUCAUUAAAAUAACUUGAAUGUUUUGAUUAAACAGCUUGCGCAUUCAUAGGCUCAUGAGCAGAUUAGAUUUAACACAGGCACACAAACAAUCCUAAGCUUCAGUGCACUGGCUGAAUUUCCACUCAAGUUAAAUUCAAGACAACACCUUCUGUUGAGCAUAUAUAAGCGCUGAGCUAGUCCUAUAAUUGCAGUUUACCAUUAUAGGAAGGAUGCACUGGGACUCGCGGAGCUGAUAGAGUUACGUAAUAACUAACUUGCCCUGACUAGACCCUGCACGACUGUAACCAAUCUACUGCUGUCGCUGUCUUUAGCUCGUCAUGCAUGUUUGUAAAAUACACGGUGUGAGGAAAUCAAGAAUGCGAGACUUUAACAAUUAAGCCUAAACGUGUCACGAGGAGAAAUGAAAACCCAGUCAGCACGCGCACGUAUCCGCGUACGGUCGUCGAUGACGCGAAUAGAAAUAAAAAUGCGCUUGAAUGUUAAACCA